GCGUGUUCUGGAGUGUAUGGUAUUGGUACUGUCGACUCGGUGACAGACACAGGCAGGCUAGCAAACAUGCAGCACGGCCUCAGCGAUGUGCGCGUGCUUUUUUUACUGUGAAACAAUGACUUAGACUCAGCCUCUGUAGCGACAUCUGCUCUCCACACUCGAGCGAGUAUACAGGUCGGCCUUUGUGGGCCGUAUUACAUACCGUGGCUCACCUCUGAUCAGCUUGUAUAAUUAAAUAAGAUGAGGAUAACUAGGUUGGUUCCUAAGGACAGAGGAAGCCGUGUUCAGCAGGACGCGGUACAGAACACAUCGGAGUAUUGUGUAUGUGUGCUACUGUCAAGCUAUCGACCCGAUUGGUCGUGUAUGUACCAGUUUUAUUCGAUACAUUGAAGACGUGAAACUAAAUGAUGAUAAUAUGUGACUUGUUUAUGUGAUACAGAUUUCGUACAUGUGCUCCAGAUAAACAGUGUGAUUGGAAAUCAUAAGACGCGUUGGUGUGAGUUUGCCAUCACACCGCCAAUGAACGCGUUGGUUAACUGAACCCCCCGGGCCGUGCUGCCAUCGGUCGAUACAUAUUCCGUGCAUGUGAAUGAAAUGUCCAGGAUACAAAAUGCUUCAAAGUACAGAUCCAGUUCUCACAGAUAAUCACACGCUGUUAGUAGCUGUGGUCGGCUCCACAAGGAGGCAUCGUUAACGACGAGUAUUUGUGACUAGUCAUGUCUACAAUUCGUAGGGCUUAUAUGGAAAUAUCUAACGGUAUCCGAGGACUUAGAUUUAACAGAGAACAACAAAAUCAGCAGCAGCAGCAACAACAACAACAACAACAACAACAACAACAACAACAACAACAACAGCAACAUCAUCAACAAACAGCGGUGACAGCGAGGGAAACAACAGGUCAAGCGAGAAUAGCCAAUGGAGGUGCGAUGAGUGCCAGAGUAGUCCGCUCUCCAAAACCUCUCAUUGCCAGGAAAAUCCGUAGUUUGUUCGGAAGGCACCAACCGGAAACUAUUCAUGAUCUUUUCAUGUAUGAGAGGUUUUUAUCUAAAUUUUUCAUGUAUUUUUCAGCUGAAGAGAGGGGGGUGUUGUCACAGGUGUGCCUAACUUGGAAAGCCAUCUUGUACCACCCCCGUUUCUGGCUGGACGUCAUCCCUAUCAUAUCCUGUCGCGACCUCAGUCGCGAGGAGGACAUGAGGCGGAUCUUCUAUGAAAGCCUACAGAUGAGGAGCUUUGACUCAAUAUGCUUGUUCGGGGCCACUGACGAUGACCUCGUGGACUUCGUCAAUCACUUCUCCACGUGUAAAAAACAAUUACGUUCGGUAGGUUUGCGUUGCUCCAACGUGACCGACACAGGGAUGGAACAGCUAUUUAAACGUAUGCCUUGUAUCUACCGACUUGAGCUUUCGGGGUGCAAUGAACUAACUGAGACAGGACUUUGGUCGUGUCUUAACUCGAAAAUCGUCUCGUUGACGAUAAACGACUGUAUCAAUGUGGCCGACGACACUGUCGGCGCCAUUGCUCAGCUGCUUCCGUCGUUGUACGAGUUGAAUCUUCAAGCGUACCACGUGACUGACGCCGCUUUGGCGUUUUUCAGUGCCAAACAGAGUUACAGUUUGUCGUUACUGAGACUGCAAUCCUGCUGGGAAAUAACCAACCACGGGAUCGUGAACAUAGUACAUUCCCUGCCUAACCUUACCGUCCUCAGUAUGUCCGGGUGCAGUAAAAUUACGGACGACGGUGUGGAACUUAUUGCAGAAAACCUACGUAAGCUGCGGUCGCUAGAUCUGUCCUGGUGUCCGCGUAUAACGGACGCCUCCCUAGAAUACAUCGCCUGUGAUCUCAGUCAACUGGAGGAACUUGUGCUAGACAGGUGUUCCCACGUGACAGACAUAGGUGUUGGUUACCUGUCCACAAUGACGUCACUACUACGGCUGUACUUACGUUGGUGCACACAGAUCAGAGAUUUUGGUUUGCAGCAUAUGUAUUCCAUGCGGAAUCUACGAGUGCUUUCUCUAGCAGGUUUGACCGGCACACCACCGAUCUUGUAAUUUGAGGGAGUUAUUGCCCUUCCUAUCAUUUGAACAUAACAACCGAUUAGUCCACUUACUCUUUCGUCCACUCCUUCGAAAGUUGGUUGUACUUUGGUAUCCAGUCAGGGCCUCUGUGGACUCACACAACUACGGAACCUAGAGGAGCUGGAACUAACAA
rnacentral:misc_RNA from 1 species